AAGACGGAAUCAAACCUCAA
rnacentral:miRNA from 1 species